GGAGUUUUGAGGGGGGAGGUCCUUUAAGGUCUGAGUGUUUCCAGCUGUGUGUGUUUGUUUGAGACCAUGCGACCGUGCACCAGAUCUUAUUAAAGAAAAGGAGAAACAGGACGUCACAUUAGUCAAACACAGGGACUCACCUUUUCUAUGGCGUCCUGGUCGGCACCGUAAAGGCUCAGCCAGCCGCUCAGCUCCGAGUCCUCUCGUGUCUCCGCAGGUUGACUCGUCUGUUCUUCAGAGGACAACGUGAAGACGUCUGCCAGAGAAGAACAAACUUCUUUAGUGAACUGGACAAACUGAACAUUUGCACAAAGAAAUGGAGCAGUAGCUGCAGGAGGUACAGAGUGGUACAGAAUGAAAGGGAAUCAGACCUGCGGGCUCCGAUCGCAGCCUCAGUAGUCUGAUCUCCUGCUCUCUCUCCUCCAGCACCUGCUGCAGGAUGGACUGAUACUCCCGCUCCCUCUCCAGCAGCUGUUCUAGCAGCCUGGAGUCAAACAGGAAACGCAACAGGAUCAGAUGAAUAAAUAAUAACACGGCCAAUGGUUUGUGUAUUUGAUGGCGGUGGCGUCUACCUGUUGGUCUCCAGCUUCAUCCUGCCCAGCUCCAUGCUCACAGAGCGCUGUGCGUGGUGGGACUCGUGUGAGACGGUGGAGCUGAGCGUGCUGACCCCCGACGUGGCCACCGUGUCGUCGUGAGCGGCGAUGGUGGGCGCUCGGCUCUGGUGGGCGGAGUUUCUCUGCUCGUCGUCGUCGACGUCGUCCUGAUCGGCCGGGUCGCUCUCUGAGGCCAGACUGAAGUGAGGCCGCAGCUCUGCACACACGAUUCAGUUAUUAAUGAUCCAUAGGACGAAUAUGAUGCACUUUGUAUUUCACACGUGAGGAAACAUGUUCUAUGGAAAGUGUCAUGAAUUCUGAUGCUGCAUUAAGAUGAAGUUUAUUAAUUGAUCAAAAGAAACUAGAUGAAUCGCAAUUUGAGGUAUUAGUAUUAUUUGAAAAACUUUUUGUUUUUCUAACUUUUAGCAGUUUCUGUUUUGUAUUUUUGUAAAAGGAAUAUUUUGAGGUUUUGGACGUUGGUCGGACAAACAAGCAAAUAAAAUGUCUCCUGAUUUUG